rnacentral:rRNA from 1 species
ACAACGCUGGCGGCAGGCUAACACUUACAAGUCGAGCGCGCCUUCCGGUGAGCGGCGGACGGGUUAGUAACGCGACGUGCCCUUCUCUACGGAAUAGCCUCUGGAAACGGAGAGUAAUACCGUAUACGCCCUUUGGGGGAAAGAUUUAUCGGAGAAGGAUCGGCCCGCGUUAGAUUAGGUAGUUGGUGGGGUAACGGCCUACCAAGCCUACGAUCUAUAAGCUGGUUUUAGAGGAUGAUCAGCAACACUGGGACUGAGACACGGUCCAGACUCCUACGGAGGAGCAGUGGGGAUCUAGACAUGGCGCACCCUGAUCUAACCCUCCGCGUCACUGAUGCACGCUUAAGGUCGUAAGCCCCUUCGCCUGU